UACGUAGGGCGCAAGCGUUGUCCGGAUUUAUUGGGCGUAAAGAGCUCGUAGGCGGUCUGUCGCGUCGGCUGUGAAAACCCGAGGCUCAACCUCGGGCCUGCAGUCGAUACGGGCAGACUAGAGUGCGGUAGGGGAGACUGGAAUUCCUGGUGUAGCGGUGAAAUGCGCAGAUAUCAGGAGGAACACCGGUGGCGAAGGCGGGUCUCUGGGCCGUAACUGACGCUGAGGAGUGAAAGCGUGGGGAGCGAACAGG
rnacentral:rRNA from 1 species